rnacentral:rRNA from 1 species
GAUGAACGCUAGCGGCAGGCUUAAUACAUGCAAGUCGAGGGGCAGCAGGGGUAGCAAUACUCGCUGGCGACCGGCAAACGGGUGCGGAACACGUACGCAACCUUCCCAAAACUGGUGAAUAGCUCUCCGAAAGGAGGAUUAAUACACCGUAACAUAAUGAAGUGGCAUCACUUUAUUAUUAUAGCUCCGGCGGUUUUGGAUGGGCGUGCGCCUGAUUAGGUAGUUGGCGGGGGAACGGCCCACCAAGCCUGCGAUCAGUAACUGGUGUGAGAGCACGACCAGUCACACGGGCACUGAGACACGGGCCCGACUCCUACGGGAGGCAGCAGUAAGGAAUAUUGGUCAAUGGACGCAAGUCUGAACCAGCCAUGCCGCGUGAAGGAUGAAGGUCCUCUGGAUUGUUAAACUUCUUUUAUCUGGGACGAAAAAGUCAUUCUUGAUCACUUGACGGUACCAGAGGAAUAAGCACCGGCUAACUCCGUGCCAGCAGCC